AGGCCAGGGGCGAGCCCAGAGCCGCGGCCGCGGGGCCCAGAGGGACCGCGGGCAAUCUCGCCGCUGUUAUCGCGAGAGCAAAGCCCGCCGCGGCCCAGGACCCGUCGGAGACGCGUCCGUUCCACCGCGCAAGCGCAGUUCCGCCAGCGCCCCCUCUUUCGUACGCGCGCGUUGACGCGACGUCUGGACGACCAGGGACGGCCGCCUACGGGAGUGCGCCUGCAUUUUUCUCCCUCUCCGGGUCCGUGCCCCCUUUCACUUCCGGUCCCUCCCUUCCGGUCCUUCCCAGUUAUCCUUCCGAGCGAGAAGCUGGUGGUGCGGUCGGCUAGGCCCUUCGGUUCCCGUGCGGGUCCGCGCCCGGGACAGCGGAGCUCGGUGGGCUGGGGCCGCGCGGCCCGACGGCGCGCCCUCCCUGUCAGCAUGGCCCGAAACGCGGAAAAGGCCAUGACGGCCUUAGCAAGAUUUCGUCAGGCUCAGCUGGAAGAGGGAAAAGUAAAGGAGCGAAGACCCUUCCUUGCCUCGGAAUGUACUGAGUUGCCCAAAGCCGAGAAGUGGAGACGGCAGAUCAUUGGAGAGAUCUCAAAAAAAGUGGCUCAAAUUCAGAAUGCUGGUCUAGGUGAAUUCCGAAUUCGUGACCUGAAUGAUGAAAUUAACAAGCUGCUAAGAGAGAAAGGACACUGGGAGGUCCGGAUCAAGGAGCUGGGUGGUCCUGACUAUGGAAAAGUUGGCCCUAAAAUGCUGGAUCACGAAGGGAAAGAAGUCCCAGGAAAUCGAGGUUACAAGUACUUCGGAGCAGCAAAAGACCUGCCUGGCGUCAGAGAGCUGUUUGAGAAAGAACCUCUUCCUCCUCCAAGAAAGACACGUGCUGAGCUUAUGAAGGCGAUCGACUUUGAGUACUACGGUUACCUAGAUGAAGACGAUGGUGUUAUUGUGCCUUUGGAACAGGAAUAUGAAAAGAAACUCAGAGCCGAAUUAGUGGAAAAGUGGAAAGCAGAGAGAGAGGCCCGGCUGGCAAGAGGAGAAAAGGAAGAGGAGGAGGAGGAGGAAGAGGAGGAGGAAGAGAUCAACAUCUAUGCUGUCACCGAGGAGGAGAGACAGGCCCUCCUUAACGUUCUUGGAUGUAUGAACACACCGGAAGCCAGUGUGUCUCAGCCCAUGACCUCAUUGUGUCUGCCUCCGCGUCAGUGCAGGGAUAUGUGUUGAAUUAGUGGCUACGGUGAGCCUGGCCCACUCGAGGGGCGGGGCAGCAAACGUGCUCCGCGCGUAGCCCGAGGUCCGGGGUGACGGUCUGGUCAGUGGACGCCAUGGGAGAGGGCAGCUGUGACGGUGUGGGCAGGGCCCGUGAAGGGUCUGCUGGGGAGGUGACCCUGCAGCUGAGACCAGGAGAGGAGGAGCUAACCAAGCGAAGAGGCAGCGGGGACAGCAUUUACAGGAGGUUGCAGAGGUGCUGCAGCGGGUCCCGUGUGUCCUUUCACCCGGCGUCCCCAGUGGCGAAUCGUGCACAGUGACAAUGCGGUGUCCCCCGCGGAGACUGACGUGGUGUGACGCGCGUGUCCAGUGCUGUGUCUCUUAUCGCGUGUGUGGAUUCUCUGGGGCGACAGCAGCCUUCCUGGGCUGAGUCUGCCCUGAGGAGUGGACCUUCCACCCGUGGGGUUGCCUCAGUGGAUACAGCCAGACCGGUCCCCGGCGUGCGGGGCCCAGUGGGUCUUACCAGCAGCAGGGGAGAGGUUCCCCUGGGGCGUUCCCACCGGCCCCACCCGGCAGCUGGUGAGGGUGCGUGGGCCGGCGUCCGGCCCGGAGCCCUGCGGCCGUGGCCGUGCCCGCUCGGGCCUCCUCUCGCCCCGCCCCUCCGGGGCCACGGCGUUGCUGGGUGACCGUGGUUUCUGCUGACUCACAGGCAGCCUCUCUGGGGUGUUUCCUUCUACACGUGGUUCGUUUUUUUAAGUUGAAUUUUAAAAACAGAUAACGUAUUCACAGGAUUCAAGACCCACAAAAGUAUAUAGAGAUUCCACACAGCUCCUCUUUCACAGCCCUGUCCUCUGUCCACUGGUUCUCACGGAGGUCACUGGCUUCCCUUCUUAUUUUCUUCCUCGCACAAGAGGUCGCACAGUACCCGAUGUUCUGUUGCUUUUGU